rnacentral:rRNA from 1 species
GACGGAGGGUGCUAGCGUUGUUCGGAAUUACUGGGCGUAAAGAGUGUGUAGGCGGUGUUCCCAGUCUGUUGUGAAAUCUCCCGGCUUAACUGGGAGGGUGCAGCGGAAACUAGAAUGCUAGAGGGUGGGAGAGGUAAGCGGAAUUCCUGGUGUAGCGGUGAAAUGCGUAGAUAUCAGGAGGAACACCUGUGGUGUAGACAGCUUACUGGACCACUUCUGACGCUGAGACACGAAAGCGUGGGUAGCAAACAGG